rnacentral:misc_RNA from 1 species
CAUAUUAGGAACCAGUUGAGGUUGAUAGAUCUCCUGGUCGCUAAAAUCAAAAUACCCAUCUUUGUGCACCUUUUUUAUGUCUCUGGUGGCUAGUUCGCAAGAGAAGUCUCUUAUUUGGAGGAUCUCGUCUAGUUCAUUUUGAUCCAUCGGACAAAUGAAUGAAGCCACCAAUGGUUGGCUAUAACACACUUUUUGCCGUCCAAAAUAUCUGUCUAACAUUGAUUUGUGUAAAAUACAUAAAA